ACUGGUAUUUGUUCAUAGCUUGAAGAAGAAAGAAUAGCAAGACACAAAGGGCCGGGGCAGGUUGUUUAUUUGUCAACUGAACUAGUUCCCGUUGGCUGCAGCGUGAAUGAAUGGAGGUCGAGCUGAAUGAAUGGUGUUUUCAAAUAUUUGAAUUGGGGUUAUGGUGAGCUGAAUCGGACUCUUGUGCAAGUCUAUGAUGACGAGAAAACACGUAGGGCUCCAUCUGUUAAAUGCUGCGAGCUUGAAUAUGGUAUGACUUAUGUAGGAUAUAUAUGGAAUGGAAAUGCUUGUGGUUUUAUGAAUCAAUAUCUGGUAUGUUAUGAUUGUCACGUUUCUUUGAAAUGGUAAGGUAUUUACAUGAUGGGAAUGUACGAUGGAUGUUUGAAUAUGUGAUGUUAUCUAUAUUUUUGCUUUGAAUUUUUCAAUGGUUGACUUCAAGUCUGAACUGGUUUUGAAUUGUAUGUACAGGACCAUUUCAAUAUGGAUUGUGGAUUGGUAUGAGGAGAAGUUCUGCUGAUGAAAGCGGUUAUUGCUGAAACGGUUCAUGGUUUAUGUCAAAUGGAACUAUGGAGAAUGGUUCUAAAAGAUAUGGAUUACUUGAUCAUAAAGCUAGUUAACAUUGUGGUGAAACUGAGGCGGAUCUAAUUUAUGGAGUCAGCUGUUGUUUUCUUUUUGUAUAGUUGAAUUUCGCAAUGGACUUGAAAUUUGUAAUGGAUUUGGAAUUUCGUAACGGAACUGAA